CGCACCUUGCGCUCCUUGGUAUUCCGAGGAGCAUGCCUGUUUGAGUGUCAUUAAAUUCUCAACUUCAACAUUUCUGUUGAAUGCUUGGAUUGUGGGGGUUGUGCAGAAUGCUUCAUUGCGUUCUGCUCCUCUUAAAUGAAUUAGCGAGUUUCUACUGAGCUCUAUCUAUUAGUGUGAUAAUUAUCUACGCUAUGGAUUGGACUUGGACUUGCUUCUAACCGUCCGCAAGGACAAUACCUUGACAAUUUGACCUCAAAUCAGGUAGGACUACCCGCUGAACUUAA
rnacentral:misc_RNA from 1 species